AGAUUCAAUUUUAUGUUUUGUUUAUGUAGUGUUCCUUGAGCAUCUCAUACAAGAUUCGCGUAUUUUUUAUGCGAAAACAGUAAGUGUCAUUAGUAUAAUGCAUGAAUAAGUAGAACAUCUAAAUGCCGAUUAUAAUACGGUAGACAGUAAAUUCAAUAGCACAUGUAAAUGAUAUAGAAAAACAGUGAGAACUUGAUACAAAUUCAAAUGUUUGUUGCCAUUCACAAAGUUACUGCCAAGUGAAAUGGCAAAUUAUGAAAGGAUAUUUACAAUAUUCACGGUGGACAGCAGGAACACUACUGACAAGAUGCUGAACAAUCUGUCAACGUUUAUUAAUCAAGUAGGAAUUGACCGUGGUGUGUGAUGGUACUCUAUGAAGAAAAAAUAUAUAAACCAAAGAGAACUUUUGAGUUUCAAAACGUUGUUCCAAGUGAUUUUGUUUUACCACCGAGUUAUACGUUAAAUAGGCCCGCAACAUCGUUGAGUGAAGACAAAAAGAAACCUCUGAAAAAAACUGAGCAGAUGAUAUAUAAGACUUUAUUUUAAGAUACAUUUUAAAAAUAAUUAAUUGAUUCGACGCACAAAUAAAUCUUCAGGAAACACCUGCAUAACAGAGGUCUGGCACAGGGAGCACCAUGGACAGCGCAGAUGAGCUGACGCCCGUGCUGGACGCCGCGCGCUCGAAGAAGAUGACCAAGAAGUACCUGGGCGUGGAGGCGGCGGCCGAGGAGUGGUGCGAGAGCCAGGAGGAGCUCGGGCUGGUCACCGCGACGACGCCCGUCAGGUUCUGGAUCCUGCUGGUGUUUUCGCUCAUGUCGUGGCUGCACGUGAGUGUUGGUUUCCUUUUUUCUCUCUUUCUUUUUUACUUUUUUUUUUUUGUUUGUCUUGGGGUUCUGUUCGCUGUCGGGGAGAAUGAUGUUGUGAGGGACGAGAUUAAUCAGUUGUUUACUGAUAACCGAAAGGUUUGUUGCAAUUCUGGUUAUCGUAGACGCAAUGAGUAAUUCAUUGACCUUGGCCUGAUUAGCGUUGCCAUCGCAGCCAUUGCAACGCUUUGAAGAAACUGUUACUUGUUUUGGAAGUAAUAAAGGCAGCUUAGGACGUCAAAGUCAGAUUUGGCGGAAU